rnacentral:rRNA from 1 species
GACGAACGCUGGCGGCGUGCUUAACACAUGCAAGUCGAGCGGUAAGGCCCUUUCGGGGGUACACGAGCGGCGAACGGGUGAGUAACACGCGGGUGACCUGCCCUCAGCUCUGGGAUAAGCCUGGGAAACUGGGUCUAAUACUGGAUAUGACUCCACGGUGCAUGUCGUGGGGUGGAAAGCCUUGUGCGGCUGAGGAUGGGCCCGCGGCCUAUCAGCUUGUUGGUGGGGUGANGGCCUACCAAGGCGACGACGGGUAGCCGGCCUGAGAGGGCGACCGGCCACACUGGGACUGAGACACGGCCCAGACUCCUACGGGAGGCAGCAGUGGGGAAUCUUGCGCAAUGGGCGAAAGCCUGACGCAGCGACGCCGCGUGAGGGAUGACGGCCU